rnacentral:rRNA from 13 species
CGGUGGGUGCUAACGUCCAUCGUGAAGAGGGAAACAACCCAGACCGCCAGCUAAGGUCCCCAAGUACCAGUUAAGUGGGAAACGAUGUGGGAAGGCUCAGACAGCUAGGAGGUUGGCUUAGAAGCAGCCAUUCCUUUAAAGAGUGCGUAAUAGCUCACUAGUUAAGCGGCCCGGCGUCGAUAAUACACGGGCAUUAAACAUACUGCCGAAGCUGUGGGAACUAAUAGUUCGGUAAGGGAGCAUUCCAGGGGCGCAGAAGUCGUGGCGUAAGCUGCGGUGGAGCCCCUGGAAGCGAAACUGUAGGCAUGAGUAACGAGAAGACGGGCGAGAAACCCGUCCACCAUAAACCCAAGGGUUCCUGAUCAACGCUAAUCGGAUCAGGGUUAGUCGAGACCUAAGGUGUAGCCGAAAGGCGAAGCCGAUGGCAAACCGGUUCAAUAUUCCGGUACCGAUUUUAACGCCAGGCUAAGGCGUGACGCAGAAGUGACACUCCUGCGUGCUGACGAAUGCACGUUAAAGGGCGUAGGCCGGGAAGCAGGCAAAUCCGCUUCCCGUUAAGGCUGAACCCCGACAGUACUCCAAGCCUGCGGGCGAGGAGAUAAUGGAGGUAAUCCCGCUGCCAAGAAAAGCGUCGUAGUUUGUUAAAAUCGCUCGUACCCCAAACCGACACAGGUGGGUGAGGAGAGUAUCCUAAGGUGCUCGAGUAAUUCAUGGCUAAGGAACUAGGCAA